GGUUUCACUGUCCACUCCACACGCAAGAAAUGCCAUCAAGCCCCAUUCAGUUUUUCCAGACGAGCCAGCAAGUCAACAAACCAUACCGCGGAGUUUAACCUCUCAACCCCAUUUGCCUAGGCGAGUACCACUGUUAAGCUGAGACCAUGGGAGGGACAG